ensembl:lncRNA
UUGUGGACGCAAAUCCCAUUCAAGUCCUGGUACCGAUAUUAGCUUUUUUUUCCCACGCCUCACGUUUGAACAUGAUGCGUGAAAAAUGCAGUUACCCAACAGUGUGUAUGCCACCAUCUUGGUCUAUUUAAAAUCUCCUCUCAUUGAUUGAGACAGGUGGGUGUCCACUCCAAAGUGCCGCCCCCUGCAACGAGACUUGGACGUUUGGAACGGGGCAGCAGGUAUCCUAGUGGUUAGAGGAGGUAUCCUAGUGGUUAGAGGAGGUAUCCUAGUGGUUAGAGGAGGCAGGUAGCCUAGUGGUUAGAGGAGGCAGGUAGCCUAGUGGUUAGAGGAGGUAUCCUAGUGGUUAGAGGAGGUAUCCUAGUGGUUAGAGGAGGCAGGUAGCCUAGUGGUUAGAGG